ACGUACGUGAGCAAACCAUGUGGUGUUGUUUGGGCAUGCUUCUUUGGAGUAGAGUUCUUUUGUAGUUAAACAUGGAUUGCUGACUUAAUAUUUAGCAUAGCUGUAUUGGAGUUGGACCCUCAACUUGUCACUCCAAUCAUCUAUGAAGAUACUCCCAUAGGUGAGGCAAAGUACCCCUAUUCUCCCUCAAUUUAUUCGCUGAUUGAUAUGUAUACAGUUAAUUAGAAUGGUCAUGCACUCAAGCAGUGCAUGAGUGCAGACAACUGCUUCACGCUUCAACUAAAAUUCCAAGAAUUUGUUGUGUGGUUUCAACUAACUUUUUUAUUCAGGAAAAGUUUGAUCAACUAAAUGAUUUUUUGUUCUUUACUGUUAGUGAGAAAGGUUGAUACCAUGUUGUUUGUUUUGCAACAUAGGGAAGUUCUUUAGUAGGACAUGAUUCAGUUUUCUCAUCUGAAUCUGCACUCUAAGUUAGCUCUCAACACCUCAGAGUCCUGAUAGAGGUAUACUACGUCACAUCAAAAUUUUCUAUGCAAGCAGGCGCUAGAGUCAUGGGCUUCUUAUGAUCUACUAAUUAGGUUUCUGCAUAAAAUUGCUAUCUCUUUGGCUAGCGCUGAUAGAAGACGUAUGUUGGUUCAGCAAUGCCAAAAUUGCAUAGUUGGAUGAUGUUUAGGAUUGUCCCAGUUGUAUCAUUCUGCUCGCAUAACUUAGUGUUAAAUGUGCGACACUUAUUUUGGGACGGAGGAGUAUUUCUUAGUAACAAAUUUAUAUUAGGUCUGCAAACUAAUUACUAUUGCAACUAUGCAACCAGCAGCACACCCUAUCACCUUAAAUCACAAGCGAUGAAGCAGAAUCGAUGUGAGCUAACAUAAGCAACUGUUGCAGACUUGGCUGGGCUAGACCCC
rnacentral:lncRNA from 1 species